UACAGAGGUCUCAAGCGUUGUUCGGAUUCAUUGGGCGUAAAGGGUGUGUAGGUGGCGCCGUAAGUCGGGUGUGAAAUCUCGGGGCUUAACUCCGAAACUGCAUUCGAUACUGCGGUGCUUGAGGACUGGAGAGGAGACUGGAAUUCAUGGUGUAGCAGUGAAAUGCGCAGAUAUCAGGAGGAACACCGGUGGCGAAGGCGGGUCUCUGGGCAUGUCCUGACGCUGAGGAGCGAAAGUGUGGGGAGCGAACAGG
rnacentral:rRNA from 1 species